AUGAAACGAGAAGUCGACUCGCCUCUCACGGGCGUCCGGCCCUCCGCGAGCACCCGAGGGGGUUCGGGCCUCGGACCCGGUCCGAUCCCGUCCCCGCAUCGGGGCUGUCCGCGAAAGGAGGUGUCCUCGGACGGAGUCGAAAUUCUUCCCGGUCCGCGACGCUACGGCUUGGAUGGUCCACCCGACCCGUCUUGAAACACGGACCAAGGAGUCUAACAUGCGCGCGAGUCGUUGGGUCGGACACGAUCCGCUAAACCCAUAGGCGCAAUGAAAGUGAAGGCCGCUUUUCGGGCGGCCGAGGGAGGACGGGGCCGCCUUCCCGCGGUCCCCGCACCCCCGGGGCGUCUGAUCCCUCAUCGCGAGGGGAGGCGCACCCAGAGCGCACACGUUGGGACCCGAAAGAUGGUGAACUAUGCCUGGCCAGGACGAAGUCAGGGGAAACCCUGAUGGAGGUCCGUAGCGAUUCUGACGUGCAAAUCGAUCGUCGGAGCUGGGUAUAGGGGCGAAAGACUAAUCGAACCAUCUAGUAGCUGGUUCCCUCCGAAGUUUCCCUCAGGAUAGCUUGCGCUCGGAGGAGAGUCUCAUCCGGUAAAGCGAAUGAUUAGAGGCCUUGGGGCCGAAACGGCUUCAACCUAUUCUCAAACUUUAAAUGGGUGAGAACUCCGGCUUGCUCGAUUACUCGAAGCCGGAGACGGGGACCCUCCGGGGUUCCCCGGGAUCGGAGUGCACAGUGGGCCACUUUUGGUAAGCAGAACUGGCGCUGUGGGAUGAACCAAACGACGGGUUAAGGCGCCCGAAUCGACGCUCAUGGGAAACCAUGAAAGGUGUUGGUUGCUUAAGACAGCAGGACGGUGGCCAUGGAAGUCGGAAUCCGCUAAGGAGUGUGUAAUAACUCACCUGCCGAAGCAACUAGCCCUGAAAAUGGAUGGCGCUGAAGCGUCGUGCCUAUACCCGGCCGUCGCCGCAAGACGGACCCGGCCCUCGAAGUCGGGUGCCGCCUGACGCGGCGACGAGUAGGAGGGUCGCGGCGGCGAGCGCAGAAGGGUCUGGGCUCGAGCCUGCCUGGAGCCGCCGCCGGUGCAGAUCUUGGUGGUAGUAGCAAAUACUCCAGCGAGGCCCUGGAGGACUGAUGUGGAGAAGGGUUUCGUGUGAACAGCCGUUGCACACGAGUCAGUCGAUCCUAAGCCCUAGGAGAAAUCCGACGCCAACGGCGACGGGAGAAUUAUCAAACGAAAGACACCCGUUGAUCGGGCGAAAGGGAAUCCGGUUCCUAUUCCGGAACCCGGCAGCGGAACCGCUGUUUGUCGGGCCCUCACAAGGGGUUCGUCAGGGUAACCUAAAAGGGCCCGGAGACGCCGUCGGGAGCCCCGGAAAGAGUUUUCUUUUCUGCAUGAGCGUUCGAGUUCCCUG
rnacentral:rRNA from 1 species